rnacentral:lncRNA from 1 species
AGGUUUUGAGAGAGAAUUUACAAAGGGUUUGCGGAAAUUGGGAGGGAAUAACCUGCCAGCAGUAAAGGUAACCUGAUCUCACCAACAGACUUGAACCUGGAGAUUCCCCUGUAGUGGAGGAAGGACUUUCCCUCUACCUUCCUGGGUUCAAUAGCUGGGUCCAUGAAAUAAACUGACGACAGGCAGAUUAACAGCAGAAAAGGGCAAAUAAUUCCAGUCCCUGUGGGGACCCAGUGAUCAGAAAAUACGUUAUACUCUGAUAUGAUGUCAUGAGUAUGAUGGAAGGAAGACUUCUGGCCAUUCUUUCAUAUAUCCUGGGAUUUUACUGGCUUAAGAGUACUGCAAAAUUGUGAAGCUGGUGUUUCUUAUACUUUUCUCCCUUUAAGAGAGAUGUGUCUGUUUCUUCUUGUUGGAGCUGGUGACGAUCAGGGACCUCCACUCUAGAGCACGGACAAAGCUGGAGUUGCUGUUGUUACUGUGUUAAGGUCACCAGUCCCUUCUGGAAAGUUCAGACUCACAGAACAUCACCUAUGCCCUGCUUCAUUGCAAGAAAACGAAAAUGUCCCCAAUGACUAAUGUGAACAGAAUGUCACCGUACAGUUAACAGUGGAAUUUUCUUCUUGCAGCUUUGCUGACUGCAACCAUCUUUCCUCUGGCGCUGGAGAAAUUCCCUCCAUUUUAAGAUUGGAAGAGAACAUUUCCUGCUUCUAUGCAAAUCACUGGACAGUUUCCCCUGACGUUUUAUGAUUGCCAAAAAACUCAUACAGGAUGGAGGAAAAUAGGAAGAAAACAGCAGGAGCUCAUCAUUCAUUUAAAAAUACAAAACAAAACAGUAUUUACAGUAUGCCAGAUAUGGUGCUAGGGAUAUAAAGAUAAAAAUAUAGGAUCCUUGCCCUACAAGCACUUACAGUGUAGAAACAGGCAUGCAAAUACAAUAUAAUAAAGUAACACCACUGCUAUAACCACGUAAAUACCUCUUGAAUUGAAUUGAAGCAAAAAUGGUUGAAGACAGUAGCAGUAAAUACAUAUAUUGAUAAACACUGUAGGAAUAUUAAAUGAUGUCCACUACUCACCUCCAUUAAAAAGCCAAGAAAAUAAGCCAAAACUCUCUCUGUUGAGCUAACGAACCACUGAAGUGAGUGACCUUUGUAGAUUUCUGUGCCUCUUACCUAAUUUUUAAUUCCAUGUACUUAAUUGUUUUUCACAGUUUCAUUAGGGCAUUUUUCCUCAACCUGUUAAUUUCGAGGACGUUAUUAUACAUGUAUGAAUCAAUAUAUUAAGGCGUAUUUCUUUUCAAGUCUUGCCAAAGUGUUGCAAAAUACUGUUUCAAGAUAUUCUGAAACAGUGCGAAAUAUACACUUUAAUCCAACAAUUUCACCUCUUCUAUUUAACCUUUAUCUCGAUGUCACAGAAAAAGAAAAUGGUGAUAACUCAUGAAAUAACAUUGGUAAACAUUCAUACAUGACAGGAAAGUAGUGAGUAUUGUCCUCCUUUUUAAAAAUGGCACCACUAGAACCACAUCUCGGCAUAAAAUAACCUUUAAGCAACCUUAUGAUGCCACAAAGAUGGCAGAGCACUUGGUCCAGGUGCCUAGUUAAGAGGAGCUGGGCAGGCUGAGGGCAGAGAGGCUGAGAGGAGGGAAGAAGUGUGGGCUAGAUCCACUUGGGAGAUGGCUAGCAAUGCAGAUGGCCACAGAUAAACUGACAGGAUGGAUGGCAGGUGUUGGUUGAUAUCACAUACUAGCCUAACAACAGCAUAUGACAGCCUUUUAGUUUUCUUUUUUUCUUUUUUUUGCAGUUAAAAAAGAAAUCGAUAAAAAAAUGACACUUUCCCCUUUCUCCUCCAAAUAGGCAUGGAAUAUACACAGGCAGGCACAGGUAGCCAAUAAACAUAUAUAAAAAGAGAGGACACUAAAUGGUCAAAGAAAUGCAAAGUAAAACAAGAGAGUGUAGUAGAGUGUGGGGAAAAGUCAUUCUCA